UGGGGAAUAUUGCACAAUGGGCGCAAGCCUGAUGCAGCGAUGCCGCGUGGAGGAAGAAGGUUUUCGGAUUGUAAACUCCUGUCUUAAGGGACGAUAAUGACGGUACCUUAGGAGGAAGCUCCGGCUAACUACGUGCCAGCAGCCGCGGUAAUACGUAGGGAGCGAGCGUUGUCCGGAAUUACUGGGUGUAAAGGGAGCGUAGGCGGGAUUGCAAGUCAGAUGUGAAAUGUAUGGGCUUAACCCAUAAACUGCAUUUGAAACUGUAGUUCUUGAGUGAAGUAGAGGUAAGCGGAAUUCCUAGUGUAGCGGUGAAAUGCGUAGAUAUUAGGAGGAACAUCGGU
rnacentral:rRNA from 1 species